rnacentral:rRNA from 1 species
CCAGACUCCUACGGGAGGCAGCAGUGGGGAAUAUUGCACAAUGGGGGAAACCCUGAUGCAGCGACGCCGCGUGAGCGAUGAAGUAUUUUGGUAUGUAAAGCUCUAUCAGCAGGGAAGAAAAUGACGGUACCUGACUAAGAAGCCCCGGCUAACUACGUGCCAGCAGCCGCGGUAAUACGUAGGGGGCAAGCGUUAUCCGGAUUUACUGGGUGUAACGGGAGCGUAGACGGCAUGGCAAGCCAGAUGUGAAAUACCGGGGCUCAACCCCGGGACUGCAUUUGGAACUGUUAAGCUGGAGUGUCGGAGAGGCAGGCGGAAUUCCUAGUGUAGCGGUGAAAUGCGUAGAUAUUAGGAGGAACACCAGUGGCGAAGGCGGCCUGCUGGACGAUAACUGACGUUGAGGCUCGAAAGCGUGGGGAGCAAACAGGAUUAGAUACCCCCGUA